rnacentral:rRNA from 1 species
UGCUCUGUGGAUCAGUGGCGAACGGGUGAGUAACACGUGAGCAACCUGCCCCUGACUCUGGGAUAAGCGCUGGAAACGGCGUCUAAUACUGGAUAUGAGCUGCGACCGCAUGGUCAGCAGUUGGAAAGAUUUUUCGGUCUGGGAUGGGCUCACGGCCUAUCAGCUUGUUGGUGAGGUAAUGGCUCACCAAGGCGUCGACGGGUAGCCGGCCUGAGAGGGUGACCGGCCACACUGGGACUGAGACACGGCCCAGACUCCUACGGGAGGCAGCAGUGGGGAAUAUUGCACAAUGGGCGAAAGCCUGAUGCAGCAACGCCGCGUGAGGGAUGACGGCCUUCGGGUUGUAAACCUCUUUUAGCAGGGAAGAAGCGAAAGUGACGGUACCUGCAGAAAAAGCGCCGGCUAACUACGUGCCAGCAGCCGCGGUAAUACGUAGGGCGCAAGCGUUAUCCGGAAUUAUUGGGCGUAAAGAGCUCGUAGGCGGUUUGUCGCGUCUGCUGUGAAAUCCCGAGGCUCAACCUCGGGUCUGCAGUGGGUACGGGCAGACUAGAGUGCGGUAGGGGAGAUUGGAAUUCCUGGUGUAGCGGUGGAAUGCGCAGAUAUCAGGAGGAACACCGAUGGCGAAGGCAGAUCUCUGGGCCGUUACUGACGCUGAGGAGCGAAAGGGUGGGGAGCAAACAGGCUUAGAUACCCUGGUAGUCCACCCCGUAAACGUUGGGAACUAGUUGUGGGGUCCAUUCCACGGAUUCCGUGACGCAGCUAACGCA